rnacentral:rRNA from 1 species
CCUACGGGCGGCUGCAGUCGAGAAUCAUUCACAAUGGGGGAAACCCUGAUGGUGCGACGCCGCGUGGGGGAAUGAAGGUCUUCGGAUUGUAAACCCCUGUCAUGUGGGAGCAAAUUAAAAAGAUAGUACCACAAGAGGAAGAGACGGCUAACUCUGUGCCAGCAGCCGCGGUAAUACAGAGGUCUCACGCGGUGUUCGGAAUCACUGGGCGUAAGGCGUGCGUAGGCUGUUUCGUAAGUCGUGUGUGAAAGGCGCGGGCUCAACCCGCGGACGGCACAUGAUACUGGGAGACUAGAGUAAUGGAGGGGGAACCGGAAUUCUCGGUGUAGCAGUGAAAUGCGUAGAUAUCGGGAGGAACACUCGUGGCGAAGGCGGGUUCCUGGACAUUAACUGACGCUGAGGCACGAAGGCCAGGGGAGCGAAAGGGAUUAGAUACCCGAGUAGUC